rnacentral:misc_RNA from 1 species
UCCAAUGAGAACUGCUAUCGUUGAUAUGUUUCUUUUCUGAAAUAUGUUGUGACUUAUUAUAAAAUAUAGUGUUUAUUCUUGAAAUUGGAGCAACACGAUGUCUUUAGAACAAACGGCUUGUGAUGAUUUGAAGGCGUUUGAACGCCGCCUCACGGAGGUAAUUGGAUGUCUGCAGCCCGCCACAUUGAGAUGGAGAAUUCUCUUAGCAGUGGUCUCGGUGUGCACAGCAAUGGCGGCGUGGCACUGGCUGACAGACCCACUUACACCAGUUGUAUCUCUCACACAGUCUCUCUGGAACCAUCCUUUCUUUGCAUUCACAUCUACAUUCCUGGUGGUGCUAUUCAUGAUGGGUGUACAUCGCAAGGUGAUAGCACCAAGCAUCAUCACAGCACGCACUCGCUCCGUGCUCAAUGACUUCAACAUGUCCUGUGAUGACACCGGCAAGCUCAUACUCAAGCCGCGUCCGGCCACAUAGCUGUUAGACAACGAAUUUAUGCAUAGUCGGUGUUAAAAGUUGACAGGUUGGGUGAGAUGAAAUUAUAUUAGGGUUUACUGUGAGAAAUGUGUACUGAAUACUUAGGGCUAAAAUCUGAUUUAUUAAGUGUGUUGGUACUCUUGGGACCCUCACUAUAUAUGUUUCGGCUACAAUAGAUGGCGUGAGUGUAGCCACAGCAUUCGUGAUGGAAAUUAUUAUUUUUAACUAAGCUAAUUGAGCUCUAUACCUUUUUGCCACUACUUGAAGGUCUAGAGAACCUACAAACAAUAAAAAAAUAUAUAUAAACCCUUCCUAUUUCCUUCAGGUUUACUCUGGGUUUGAAGUUAUUGACAACUUUAUAUUUAAAUUGAAUACUUUUAUAUGGGAAUGUAUAUUCAAUCAAUAAUUUAAAGAAAAUACAUUAGUAUUUUACCUCUUGUGGCACAAUUAAAAUCAUAAAUAAUGGUAAAUGAGAAAAAGACUAAAUCAUUUACGUUUUACACUGAAUGCACUACACGCACGCCAUCUAGGUAAUGGAUAGGAACUAGACUAGGAUCCCUACACCCUUGAGAGUAUUACAUUGUUAUUUGUAAAUUUGACAUGUGUAGAAUAUUUUAUAUGAUAGGUGGAUUCACCGAAUAGAAGAAAGAGUAUGGAAAGGCCCUAACGGGCAUUUUGUAUGAGAAUCGCUGUCGCCAGUUUAACCCCACUGGCUUUUACUACUCCUGCAAACAGAUAACUACGAUCUUAAACGUUGUACCGGUUGAGAGCCUUCAGCGCUCCCCAUUUGUCCGGCCAAGUAGUUAAUGCCAUCUGCGGCAAAUCUACAAUAUGUCACGUCACAAAAAAAAGACUGCUCAAAUUCAAACUCACUCUACCGGCAAUGUAUAUUUUAUGUGAUAAGCUGCAACAUUAUUACUUUCAGAAUCAGGAUCAGAAUCAGACAUUUAUUUGUAGAUAUGGGUACAUUAAGUUGGUCUUACUUUUCGUAAGAUACUGCAUAGGAAAGUAUUUUUUUGACAAGUAGCCGAUCAUAGUAAGGUUUUUAGCUUUCUUGUGAGAAGAAGGGAUAUCCUUGCAUCACAGUCGAUAUUUGAUUUUUGCCCUGCAUGUUAUAAUGCACAAGACGACCUUUUAAGAUACUAUAGCGGAGCCCCAUGCGUCGCAAAGUUUGCGGACGAGUGGAGUAUAAUGUCGAAGUAAGAACAAUUUGCUCAUACUUGUAUGGCGCGCGUUUCCCGCUCACUUGGCCCUUCCAACCUCUUUCUCCUAUUUCGUGAAUGGAUUAAAACGAAUUAAUUUGUUAUUUAGCAAAUUUACUGCUUGUCUUGAAGUCUCUCAGAAAUCCUAAGACAGCAAAUAAUGAAACCAUCAACUUUUACAACAGACUAAGCAUAAGAGGCUUAUUAAAAUAUAAGCCUUAGUAUUUGUCAUUAAAGACAAUAUUUCUAAACUAUUUUUAAUGUUGUAGAUUUUUUCAAUUGUUGUUGUAUCUUUUAAGCUGUGUACCUUAAUAGGGUCCAGUAUCAAUAAGACAUAAAAUCCCAAAAAUAAUGUACUAAUAAUAGAAUUCUGUUAUUAUUCACGUUGGUCUAACAGAAAGCUCGUUGAGUUGUGGGUACUUAGUUCAUCUUGCGAUGAUGUACCUCUGACUACCCCAAUUAGGAAAUAGUCGUGAGCUUGUGUUAAGAGAGUGAAAUAGUAAUAAACAGUAUGAACAAUAUAAUGUACCCACUUUAGGACUCUGUCGCACUAACAUAUUUGACAUUUCGCGAGACUUAACAGUUCAAUUUGUCAAAAAAGUUAAUGUGACAUGGUACCAAAGUGUAUACAU